CGGGGUCAGCAUCAGCAGGACAUUUUACACUCGGUGUCUCCUUAGAACCACCUCCCUUUGCAUCAUGUUCCACGUGGGCUGAUAAGUCUUCCCAAUCGCUUUUAUGCUGGUCACUCUCAAGUAAUUCUGUUGGAUUUCCCUUCUUUUCUGGAGUUGCACGAAGGCAUGCUUCUUUUUCUAUGUGUUCCACCUGGCUUUGCUGGCUCU
rnacentral:lncRNA from 1 species